AUACGUAGGUGGCGAGCGUUGUCCGGAAUUACUGGGCGUAAAGGGUGCGUAGGCGGACCAUCAAGUCAGAUGUGAAAGUCCAUGGCUUAACUGUGGGAGUGCAUUUGAGACUGAUGAUCUAGAGUGCAGGAGAGGGGAGCGGAAUUCCUAGUGUAGCGGUGAAAUGCGUAGAUAUUAGGAAGAACACCAGUGGCGAAGGCGGCUUUCUGGACUGUAACUGACGCUGAAGCACGAAAGCGUGGGGAGCAAACAGGAUUAGAUACCCUGGUAGUCCACGCCGUAAACGAUGAGUAUUAGGUGUAGGGGACGAUAGUCUUCUGUGCCGGAGCAAACGCAAUAAAUACUCCGCCUGGGGAGUACGGUCACAAGACUAAA
rnacentral:rRNA from 1 species